CCAGCCUCGGGCUGGCUGUUGACAGAAGCGCGCAAGGUGCAUCUUUAUGCUCUACAUCAAACGCCUUUGACACAGACUUAAAAAAGUCUAUGUAAAGCAGCUAAUGGUGCUCGCUCUUCCGGCUGAGUAAGUCGGGGAACCAGAUUUUGCUGGAAGUAGAAGCCCUUUGCUCUGAGAACUGAUCUUUACUGCAUCAGGCUCUGCCCUGAUGUGCUAGUGUUAGCAGCCUGUGGAUUUCUGAGCCAAGCUGAAAUGGGGUCUCGGGGCGGCCAACCUAAGGCGGGCAAGAAGAGAUGGCAGCGUGAAGCAGAGGAGGAGGACAGAAAUAAGAUCAAGUGAAGGGAGGGCAGAGCUUAGAGGAAGGAACACAAGGCAACAGUUUUACAUUAUGGACCCGCUGCCACCCAACUUGCUAUGCAGAGCGAUGUGCUUUCCUGCAAAGGGCUGCGGCAGACGGGUGAUGUUGGCUGGAAAAAGGGGCUCACUUUGAAGUGAUUCAGGCCCUGGGUUGUCCAGAUUCAGCAUCAUUGUGCUCUCUCAGGGAAAUGUAAUCUAAUUUUAGGAAGAGGAGGAAACAAAGUAAACGUGACUGAACUGCGCUGCACCUCCGCACCGUCCGAGACCGCGUCCCCGGGAAUAUCCCUGGGCAACUUUCUUCAUUUUCCUUCUUUUUUAGACACCAAUUUUGGUGCAUACUAGCCAAGAGAGGAAAAAAAGGGUGGUAGUUCUGCCUGUGAAAUGAUAUGCUUUGGUGGAUGGCCCAAACUAACUACUGCUUGCAAACCCCAGAUUAAAAAAAGAAGACUGAUGUAAUUUUAAAGCCAGCCAACUGCCUUAGUGACUGUAUCAGAAGAUUAAAAACAAAGGUUUCAUUGAAGCACUACCUCCCACUGUGCAGCUGA
rnacentral:lncRNA from 1 species